CAGGUCAGCAUACUGCCGUGAAUACGUUCCCGGGCCUUGUACACACCGCCCGUCACACCAUGAGAGUUGGGGAUACCCGAAGCCUGUGAGCUAACUUUAUAAGGAGCAGCAGUCGAAGGUAGAAUCAAUGAUUGGGGUGAAGUCGUAACAAGGUACC
rnacentral:rRNA from 1 species